CAGCUCCCCAAUAACACGAGCACAAUGGUCAACGGGCGAGACUGAGCGGCAGACAGAUGCGCGCUGCGCAUACUUACCUAAGGCUGUUUCACAUGGCAUCCUAAAACUUUGAUACAUCUCGAUUCUGACGCCGCUUGUGUGAUUUAUGGAACCUCGCAGCAUGCUCUCGGUAGCAGCACCUGCUUUUUGCUGUUGCUGGUGUCAAGCGGAUUCAGUGAUUCAUUCAUAGCCACUGAAGGGGCAGAGGACGGAACAAACCUACACCCCACCCCUCCCUCACAGCGAAGAUGGGAACCAGUGAUUUCAUAGGGGAAUAAAGUCUCUACGGCGACCGAGCACCUCAGAUAACGGAAAGGAGCCGCUCUCUCCUCUUGCAUUUAGUUUCCUUUUGGAUAACGCAGGCGCGCGCUAAACGCACAUGGAUUCUAGAACUGUUGGACACAUUUUCUCAUAAUGAUGAUUAUGAUGAUGAUGUCACCAGAAGCACGUCGCUUCGCUACAGAUGUAAAGUCCAAUUACAAUAAGUAAAAGUGCACUGAAAGGCCUUAAAGCACUUCCAAAGGCAGCGGACCUACAGUUCCAGUCAAGUGCAUUUAUGAACUUGCUGAGCCCGUCUUUUGCUCAGCCUCUUCAGCCCAUUUUCCAUCAUUCUGAACGCUUCGUAGUUUGAGAAGAUGGAGUUUGCUAUGGUGGGCGCGGACAGCGGGGGCUGCAACACCCACCUGCCCUAUGGAUAUGCACAGGCUCGCGCCCGGGAGAGAGAGCGCGAGCGGGAGAGACAGUCUCGCGCAGCGGCGGCGGCGGCGGAAGCCGAAGCCGGAACGGUCGGAGAGGGAGGUGGGUCCAGUGGCCAUUCCCACAACCACCCGCAUCAGAGUCGUACCGCCUCUUCAACGAAUGCCAACAACAGUAGCGCUGGGACCGCCUCGCGCCCCUCCUCCUCCUCCUCCUCCUCCUCCUCCCAACAGCAGCAGCAGCAGCAGCAACACCACGAGCCACCACAGCAACUUCCCAGAGAGCGAAAAAAGCAAAGAGGCGUCGCGCGCUGGAGACGGAACCGCGCGGCACUCGGCGGGGAUCUACGCCACUCAGAGUUGGCGCUCCUAGGAUCCGAGGAGGACAUCAUGAUCGAGGAGGAGGAGGCGGAGGGCGAGGAGGAAGAGGAGGACAGGGGAAGCAAGAGGUCGAGUUUUGUCUAUAACAUGGGUGAUGAAGAGGAGACGGUCUCGUUAACGGACAGGCGUCCUCAGUCAGGGUACGAAAAUGUUUACAAUGAGUACGGCUGCUGCGAGAGAGUUGUCAUCAACGUGUCGGGCUUAAAGUUUGAAACUCAACUGAAGACUCUCGCGCAGUUCCCGGACACUCUCCUGGGAGACCCUGAGAAAAGAAUCAGGUACUUCGAUCCUCUGCGUAACGAAUACUUCUUUGACAGGAAUCGACCGAGCUUCGACGCCAUUCUAUACUUCUAUCAGUCAGGGGGGCGUUUAAAGAGACCCGCCAAUGUGCCGUUUGACAUCUUUUCCGAGGAGGUCAAGUUCUAUGAACUCGGCGAAGAGGCAAUGCUCAAGUUUCGCGAGGAUGAGGGCUUCGUGAAGGAGGAAGAGAAGCCGCUGCCCGAGGACGAGUUCAAACGUCAGAUCUGGCUACUGUUCGAGUACCCGGAGAGUUCAAGUCCAGCCAGAGGGAUCGCGGUCGUGUCAGUGUUGGUCAUCGUCAUAUCCAUCGUCAUUUUUUGUUUGGAAACAUUGCCAGAAUUCAGGGACGACAAAGAAUUCCUCAGCCCAGGUAAAAACAACACACAGGCAGACAAUGGAUUUACGCCAUUCAACGACCCCUUUUUCAUCGUUGAGACGGUGUGCAUCAUUUGGUUCUCGUUUGAGAUAAUCGUGCGCUUCUUCGCGAGCCCCAGUAAAGCUGAUUUCUUUAAAAACGUUAUGAACUCCAUAGACAUUGUCUCUAUUUUGCCUUAUUUCAUAACUUUCGGCACAGACCUCGCUCAGCAGCAAGGCAACGGGCAACAGGCAAUGAGUUUCGCGAUCCUGAGAAUAAUACGACUCGUCCGCGUGUUCAGGAUCUUCAAACUGUCUCGACACUCGAAAGGUCUUCAGAUCCUCGGGCACACUUUGCGCGCGAGCAUGCGAGAACUGGCGCUGCUCAUCUUCUUCCUUGUCAUCGGUGUCAUCCUGUUCUCCAGCGCGGUGUUCUUCGCAGAGGCGGACGAGCCCUCAUCACAGUUCACCAGCAUCCCAGACGCCUUCUGGUGGGCUGUAGUGACCAUGACCACAGUGGGCUACGGGGACAUGAAGCCCAUCACGGUCGGGGGUAAAAUCGUGGGCUCGCUGUGCGCCAUCGCCGGUGUCCUGACCAUUGCGCUUCCAGUCCCUGUCAUCGUGUCCAACUUCAACUACUUCUACCACCGGGAAACUGAUAAUGAGGACCAGGCGCCCGUUGUGGAACAACCCCCACCGGUCUGUCCGUACUUUCCGAAUUUCUUGAGAAAAUUCAGAGGGUCCCUAUCGGGGUCGUCUUUGGGUGACAAAGCGGCAGAGUACAUGGAGAUGGAGGAGGGCGUGACAGAAUCUCUGUGCGGGGCUGACACGCAGAGCCCGAGCAGAGGGAACGGUACUGACAUAGGCGGAAAAAACAGUUCACAUUCACGAACCCUACAGACAGAUGUAUGAUUAUGGAAGAACGAUAAUUUUCAUAAAGGUGACUGCACAAAUGAAUCAGUUAACAGCACACAUGCACAACUUGAAGACAUACAGUAUGCGCGUGAGCAAAACACAAGGAGACGCUCACACAUACAUACAUGCACUCAUUAGGUUCUGGACCUGAGCUGAAACAUUUUUGCGAUGUGGCUACUUUUGUAGAGAAACACACCCUGCAAUCACGUGACAGGCAACGCAAAAACCACCAGCUUUACGUGACGUGGAGAGGUGUCUCUAUCUGCCCACCGGUUCAUUAAUGAAGGCAACAAAAAGGAACUUGCAUAGGCACUUUAUGAGUUACAUUUGUCAGUAAUUGUAGGAAAACAGGCGAGUUCUUAUCUAAUGCUAUUAUGCAAUAACGUUUAAAUCGUUUGCACUAUCAUGAAUUGUGUUAUAGUCUCCCAGUUUAAUGCAGAGAAAAGAAACGUGUAACGCUGAGGUAGAGAGGGAGGCCAUUGAAAAACGACUCGAUAAUCAACAUGACUUGCAUUAUUAAUUAAUUCGAAAUACUAGCAAAAAUACGCUGCAGUCUUCUCUGAUGAAAACCAAUUCAGCUAAUAGUAAAGAAUUAUUUUAAUAUAUUUGAAUUACUAUGAUUAAUGGGAAAGCAGCAUGUUGCGUAACUUAAGGCAAUGUUAUCUUAAAUCCCAUUAUGGCAAACAUGUGUCCGCAUGGCAGUAUUCAGUAUGUUCUACACUCUGGUUAAAACCCCUUUUAGCACACACCCUGUGUAGUUAUUUGUGCAUUGUCAACGGUGACUGAAAAGUCAUUUAUAGUCAGUCCCUUUUUUGAGUAUUGAAAAACAAAUCAGUCAUGUUAGUUUUUGUUCAUUAGCACAAUAUUUGAAACACCAUAAUUCAUCCAUCAUGCGAUGCGAGGAUUCAUUCUUUCUAAGAAUCACAGUCACAUUAUGGCAUACCGAGGCCAAAAUAACCGGUUCACAUUGUCUCACAUAGUAAACACCUUGUACAGUCAACGACACCAUGGCUUGAAUGAUCAGUUUGGCCACUGUCUUCAAGUUACUGUCAUGGGAGUAUAUUUCAAGGGAAUGCUUCAUGCAACUAUUUGUCUUCAUCCCUUUACCAAAUGACAAUGCAUCCCUUUAUAAAAAUGCUGGCGGAAAUGUACAGACAGCACUGAAGGGAACAUGAACUUGGUGGACUUCAUGCACAGCGAAUUCUCGUCCGACUGGAAUGCACGAUGACCACUGAGCAAGCGCAGUGCUUUGUGGAACCCAGCCUUGUGAGUCUUGCCUAUGAGAGACUUUUCCGUCAGCCAUUGGACUCCUACAGAGGGGAACGGCCAUGACUGCCCGUCAACGAACAGCAAGUUGACGGGACGGACCCGUCAAUGCAGGCGUCACUGAAGCCACUGCUGGACAUCAGAUAGAGAGCGGACACUGCAGCCUCUCUGACGAGCAGUAAGACAGGAAGUCCAUCAAGCCAGGUGUCAAACUGUUUAAGACCCACCCCAAUAAUGCCUUAAAGACACAGUACACUACAUAUUUAU